rnacentral:rRNA from 1 species
GACGAACGCUGGCGGCGUGCUUAACACAUGCAAGUCGAACGGAAAGGCCCGGCUUUUGUGCGGUGCUCGAGUGGCGAACGGGGGAGUAUCACGUGAGUAACCUGCCCUUUUCUGUGGGAUACCUUCAGUAGACUGGGGCUAAUACCCGAUAUAAGCUCCUUCUGCAUGGUGGUUGUUGUAAAGUUUCGGCGUUUGGGGAUGGACUCGCGGCUUAUCAGCUUGUUGGUGGGGUAGUGGCUUACCAAGGCUUUGACGGGUAGCCGGCCUGAGAGGGUGACCGGCCACAUUGGGACUGAGAUACGGCCCAGAGUCCUACGGGAGGCAGCAGUGGGGAAUAUUGCACGAUGGGCGGAAGCCUGAUGCAGCAACGCCGCGUGCGGGAUGACGGCCUUCGGGUUGUAAACCGCUUUCGCCUGUGACGAAGCGUGAGUGACGGUAAUGGGUAAAGAAGCACCGGCUAACUACGUG